rnacentral:rRNA from 1 species
GGAGUUAGCCGGUGCUUCUUCUGUGAGUGAUGUCCUUCCUGCCGGCUAUUAACCCGCAGGCCUUCUUCCUCACUGAAAGUGCUUUACAACCCGAAGGCCUUCUUCACACACGCGGCAUGGCUGGAUCAGGGUUGCCCCCAUUGUCCAAUAUUCCCCACUGCUGCCUCCCGUAGGAGUCUGGGCCGUGUCUCAGUCCCAGUGUGGCUGAUCAUCCUCUCAGACCAGCUACGGAUCGUCGCCUUGGUGAGCCGUUACCUCACCAACCAGCUAAUCCGACAUAGGCUCAUCCGAUAGCGCGAGGCCCGAAGGUCCCCCGCUUUCCCCCGUAGGGCGUAUGCGGUAUUAGCCUGGGUUUCCCCAGGUUAUCCCCCACUACCGGGCAGAUUCCUAUGCAUUACUCACCCGUCCGCCGCUCGCCACCAGGGAGCAAGCUCCCCGUGCUGCCGCUCGACUUGCAUGUGUUAGGCCUGCCGCCAGCGUUCAAUCUGAGCCAGAAUCGAACCUGA